AUGGCAGUAGCCGACUCUGUGUUUACGAAAGUAGCUGGUGACCUCCAUGAUGGGACCAUUUUAGUUGGACAAUUGGAGCUGAUCCUGAAGCAUAAGUCUCAGUUUCUGAGCAUCUGGGAACUGAAGAGAAAAUGUCCUUCAGUUCAAAAGACCCAGUGCGAUUUGAAGGAAGUGCUGGACUGCAGAAUGGUGGACCUGUGGGUUCUAAAGAGAGAGGCGAGAUGGGUCGACAGCCUCCUGAAGCUGUGUGGGAAGACGAGACACCUGAUACCAGUGGACUUUGGAGAGAUGGAAGCAAUGCACUCUGAAGACCUCAGCACCAAGAGGCUAAACGAAGCUGUGACCGUGACACUGCCCAUGUUCCCAGCCUCCAAUUACAGGACACAUUACAACCUGAGCUCCCAGGUCCAAGAAAUGGCCGAAAAGAUAGACCUGCUGAAAGACAGCCACAUCUUUCAGAUCCUAUGGGAAGAGGCUGCGGAGAAGCUGAGCAGUCCGAUAGAGGAAUUGGAACGGCAGAGCCUGCAAUUUCCCGAGGUCUACGCAUACUUGUACUUUCCUUGUUACCAAAGGUUCACCGAACUGUAUCACAAUCUGAGGUUGGGAAAGGUCACCUUUGCCACAAUCAAUGACGUCUUCAAGGACUUUGUAGAUAAAUAUGGCGACUUGGACUCCGACCUCCAGGUCAUGUGUCUUAUGGAUCCCCUGGCCCAAAGGGACUGGAUCCCUGUGCGCAUCGGGCAGAUCAGGGAGUACCACAGCCUGCACCAGGCCAUCAGCUCGGCCAAGGUCAUCCAGAAGGUCAAGAAGAACUUUGAAUUGACCGGGGACUUCAGCGUGCUUCGCAUUUUAUUAAACUUUAAUGAUGACUUCCAGAGCUUUUGCUGUGAGACACUGGACCAGAUCAGCCCACAGCUUGUCCGGGCCAAGAAGAAGCUGCAGGACAUCAGUGAGCCGCGACGGCGCUGUCUGGAGGAGCUGUCCCUGCAGAGAGAGCUUGUCAGCUGGCUCCACGAGGCGCUCGAAGGUAUGGCCAGUGCUCUGUGGCUGGUGGGGGUCUCAGGUGGUUCCUGUGUGGGCUUCCACACUUUGUAAGAUGCCCACCCUGUGUCCCCAUAUGAGUCCCAUGCAGAGGAUAGGAAAGUUGGGGGGGGUGUUGUUUUUGUUUUUAUUUUUGGCUUUUGUGGUACUAGAGAUUGAACCCAGGACUUUGGAUGGAGCUGCAUCUCUAGCCUUUUUUUUUGGUACUGGGGAUCAAACUCGGGUCCUUGCGCUUGCACAGCAGGCGGCGAAACUACUGAGCUAAAUCCCCGGCCCUACAUCUCUAGCUUUUAAUUUUAUGUUUUGUUUUGAGACAGGGUCUGACUGAAUUGUCCACACUAGGUUUGAACUUGCAAUCCUCCUGCCUUGGCCCCCAGAGUGCUGAGAGUACAGGUGUGCACCACAUCACCAGACUUGCCUGAAUUUUUUUUUUUUUUUUUUGGAACCAGGGAUCAAACUCGGGACCUUGCGCUUGUGAGGCGCGUGCCGGAACCACUGAGCUAAAUCCCUGGCCCUUGCCUGAAUUCUUUAGGUAGAUGAGCAGUGCAUACUUUAUUGACUGUGGAUAGAACUUACAUUAGGAUAUUUCUCAGGUCAUGAUUAAAAACUUUUCUAUGCCACUCCCUCCACACUGUGGAUUCUCACUAUGAAUAGCCUAGGGUUAUUUUCUUAAAAAUCCUGGCUCCUAUAGCUUUUUCUUCUGGGUGU
rnacentral:lncRNA from 1 species